AGGCGAUUAGCUCAGCUGGCUAGAGCGCAGUCCUGAUAAGACUGAGGUCCCAAGUUCGAGUCUUGGAUCGCCUACCA
rnacentral:tRNA from 1 species